rnacentral:rRNA from 1 species
AGAACGAACGCUGGCGGCAGGCUUAACACAUGCAAGUCGAGCGCCUCGCAAGAGGAGCGGCAGACGGGUGAGUAACGCGUGGGAAUCUACCUAGUUCUACGGAACAACAGUUGGAAACGACUGCUAAUACCGUAUACGCCCUAAGGGGGAAAGAUUUAUCGGAACUAGAUGAGCCCGCGUAAGAUUAGCUAGUUGGUGGGGUAAUGGCCUACCAAGGCGACGAUCUUUAGCUGGUCUGAGAGGAUGAUCAGCCACACUGGGACUGAGACACGGCCCAGACUCCUACGGGAGGCAGCAGUGGGGAAUAUGGACAAUGGGCGCAAGCCUGAUCCAGCCAUGCCGCGUGAGUGAUGAAGGCCUUAGGGUUGUAAAGCUCUUUCAGUGGGGAAGAUAAUGACGGUACCCACAGAAGAAGCCCCGGCUAACUUCGCGCCAGCAGCCGC